rnacentral:rRNA from 1 species
UACGUAGGGGGCGAGCGUUGUCCGGAUUCAUUGGGCGUAAAGAGCUCGUAGGCGGUUCGGUAAGUCAGGUGUGAAAACUCCAGGCUCAACUUGGAGACGCCACCUGAUACUGUCGUGACUAGAGUCCGGUAGGGGAGCAUGGAAUUCCUGGUGUAGCGGUGAAAUGCGCAGAUAUCAGGAGGAACACCAGCGGCGAAGGCGGUGCUCUGGGCCGGAACUGACGCUGAGACGCGAAAGCGUGGGGAGCGAACAGG